UCUACCUUCUGCAUCAUAUGGAGUUCAUCCCUCAGACACUGGACUUCUUGUUUCUGAUACUGGAGUUCAUUCUCCUUCACUCGAAGAAGCACCUUCAGAAGAAAGAUGAAAAGAGAAAUGUUCAGGACACAAUUGUCUACUAUCAAAAUCAUUUUCAGUGUGCUCACAAGAACUCUUCUCAUUGUGUGAAGCUCCGUCACGUGAGCACCGAGCAGCAAUGAAGGCUCGUAACUGGCCAAUCUCUUCUGAAAGACGCUUCUGCAACUCCUGGAAGAAUGAGGAUGAAAUAGUUUAACACGUUCAUCAAAUAUAACAGGUGGAGGAUGCCUUUUUGAAGCUGGAAUUCCUGCUAUUGGCCGCACCGCCAGCCCUUGCCUGGUUUUGCCGAAGCAGCUCUUUCCCCUCCUGUUGACAACGCUGCAGCA